GGACGAACGCUGGCGGCGUGCCUAACACAUGCAAGUCGAACGGGGAUUUGUUUCGGCAGAAUCCUAGUGGCGAACGGGUGAGUAACGCGUAGGCAACCUGCCCUCCGGCCGGGGACAACACUCCGAAAGGGGUGCUAAUACCGGAUACGAAGUCUGUGCCGCAUGGUACGGAUUUGAAAGAUGGCCUCUAUUUAUAAGCUAUCGCCGGGGGAUGGGCCUGCGUCCGAUUAGCUGGUUGGUGGGGUAACGGCCUACCAAGGCGACGAUCGGUAGCCGGUCUGAGAGGAUGAACGGCCACAUUGGGACUGAGACACGGCCCAGACUCCUACGGGAGGCAGCAGUGGGGAAUCUUCCGCAAUGGGCGCAAGCCUGACGGAGCAACGCCGCCGUGAGUGAGGAAGUUCUUCGGAACGUAAAGCUCUGUUGUUCCUGACGAACCUCCCUUCUAUCAACAACGGAAGGGACUGACGGUAGGGAACGAGGAAGCCACGGCUAACUACGUGCCAGCCGCGGC
rnacentral:rRNA from 1 species